UGUUUUAAAAAAUAAACUUUGUUUUUUUAAGGGGAAAAAAGAAAAAAUUACUUAAUAAACUUCGAAUUUCCAAAUGCUAGUACUCGUACUCCGUACCCGAGUACUCCCUACUUCCCCAGUCCCUACUCCGUUAGUCCGCUGCGAUCAUACAUCUAAAAUUACAAUCUCCAAAACCCUAGGAGAGAGAUUUCCUAAUUGCUCCAGAUUAUUCUUCUCGGAGAAUAAAGCUCUACUUAGGGCGAACACGGGAUAUGUAGCACUGUUAAACUGCUCGGAAGAGCUGGCCUAUUCGAUCCGUUGUGUUAUCACAUGAGGUGGUAUAGUGGUAAGGGAGGCUCAUGAGACUGUAGCCAAUGGGCACUGUGUUCAUAUAAGGGCUGGUUCCGUCGCUCAGAUAAUGCUUGGAUUAAACCACUUGCAACUGCUGAUGUCCGAAGUGGAAGGGUAAUUGGGUAACUAGCUUGUUUAUUUUCAGAUCUCUUGGCCUCCACAGGUCUGUUGUCAAAUUCAGUACAACAUUUAUAUCAAUUGUAUAGUUUCAUAGAGACAAACAUAUAUUCUGGCAUUUUAAUGAAUGAUUAUGAUCACUGGUUUCUUGGGUCUUC